GCGGCUUUAGCCCAACUGGUAGAGGCACCUGGCCGAGAUCCAGCACAGUCGGGGUUCGACUCCCCGAAGCCGCA
rnacentral:tRNA from 1 species